rnacentral:rRNA from 1 species
GAGGAUCUACUAGUCAUAUGGAUUAUAUCAAUAAGCGGAGGGAAAAGAAAAUAACAAUGAUUCCCCUAGUAACUGCGAGUGAAGAGGGACAAGCUCAAAUUUUAAAUCCGUCGGGUUACACCUGACCGAGUUGUAAUUUGAAGAGGCGUUUUCCGCGUUUUUGAUCAGUCCAAGUCCUUUGGGAUAGGGCAUCAUGGAGGGUGAGAAUCCCGUUCGGCUGAUCAGAUUCGCUUUACGAUACGUCAUCUAAGAGUCAAGUUGUUUGGGAAUGCAGCUUAAAAUGGGAGGUAAAUUUCUCCUAAGGCUAAAUAACGGCGAGAGACCGAUAGCGAACAAGUACCGUGAGGGAAAGAUGAAAAGAACUUUGAAAAGAGAGUUAAACAGUACGUGAAAUUGUUGAAAGGGAAACGAUUGAAGCCAGUCGUACCGGUGGGUAAUCAGCCUUUCGGCGUGAUUAUGUGGAGCGUGAGGAGUUAAACGCCCUCAUGGCCUGAAUAUUCGUGUUCUUUGGGUGUACUUACCCGCAUGGUAGGUUAACAUCAAUUUCGAACGUCAUAAAAUGGUUGGAGGAAUGUAGCUUCGAUCUCGUAUUGAAGUGUUAUAGACUCCGGCAGAUGUGAUGAUCGGGAUUGAGGAUUGCAACGGAUACCCUUCGGGGCUACCCGUCUGAUCUCUGAAAGUUGCUCUGGUGCCGAAAGCUCGCUUACGGUCAUCAAAGUUGACGUUCAACAGGUUAGGACGGGAUAAAUUCGUUAAGGAUGUUGACGUAAUGGCUUUAAACGAC